UUGGAAAUUAUAGAGUUGCAUCAGAAAUUGACGGACCUAAUUAACCUAUAUCAUAUUGUUUUAUACAAGUGUGUUUUAGUGUUAAGAAUACUGCUCAGGAAAAAAACACUUCAUAUCUAUUGCAGGUACAGAUUGGUGUGGGAUUUGUGAUGCCACUCAACUAGUCGCAUUACAUAUUCAAGUCUGCUUCCGACGGGAAGUGCCCAUUAGAGGUGGCAUGGCACCUGUGGACACCAGUGCAAGCAGGUGAAAGCAGCCUGACUGGACAGGCCUGCCGGACAAUGUGCCGCGCAUCUGGGAAGCUUCCGGCAACACCGGAGAAAGUGGCUGCUUUGAAGAACUGCCUGGAGAAAUACAUAAGUGACCACCUAAUGAUGCCACCUGCACCACAUCCGAAGAACCACCUUGCUUCCCUGCGAAAGCACCUUUGGAGCUUUCUUUUACACAAGCAGGACGCCAGGGCAAGCGAGUGGAAAAGUAAAUACAGUACAAGUCUAGUGAUGCUUUUUCAAUAAAGUGUGAUGAUAUGCUA